rnacentral:piRNA from 1 species
UCAGAUGAGGCUAUAUUUUGCUUGGUUGU